GAUGAACGCUGGCGGCGUGCUUAACACAUGCAAGUCGAACGGAAAGGCCCAAGCUUGCUUGGGUCCUCGAGUGGCGAACGGGGGAGUAACACGUGGGUGAUCUGCCCUGCACUUCGGGAUAAGCCUGGGAAACUGGGUCUAUUACCGGAUAGGACCACGUUUCGGUUGGUGUGGUGGAAAGUUUUUCGGUGUGGGAUGGGCUCGCGGCCUAUCAGCUUGUUGGUGGGGUAAUGGCCUACCAAGGCGUCGACGGGUAGCCGGCCUGAGAGGGUGUACGGCCACAUUGGGACUGAGAUACGGCCCAGACUCCUACUGGAGGCAGCAGUGGGGAAGAUUGCACAAUGGGCGCAAGCCUGAUGCAGCGACGCCGCGUGGGGGAUGACGGCCUUCGGGUUGGAAACUCCUUUCGCUAGGGACGAAGCGUUAUGUGACGGUACCUGGAGAAGAAGCACCGGCUAACUACGUG
rnacentral:rRNA from 1 species